rnacentral:lncRNA from 1 species
GUGCAGCUUGCUGUAAGACUCAGGGUACUAUAAGAGCAUUAGACAACAGACUUCAGUCAGUGCACUGUUCUCCCCACAAUGGCCCUUGCUAGUGAUUCAAGAAAAUCAUUCAGUAAAAUAAGGCAAGCUAAAGCUAGGACAGGGCUGACAGCAUUAAGGUAGAAAUCGUGCCUUGGAAGCUAAAGGGAGUCCAGUAAAGAGAAAUAUACUCAGAAGGAAAAACAGAAGGACUUUCAAAGAAAAUACAAUAUAAAUCUACACAAAUAUUGCUGCUAAACCCUUGCACGAAAACAGCAGCAGAAACUACCCACAAAACACUCCCUCCUCCUAUUUUUCUAUGGGGAAAACUGUAUAGAAGCUGAUACAUAAAUAAAAGCCAAAAUGGGGAGCAAAUCGCAAUCCAACACCCUUCAGCACUAGCAGCGACCACAUGUUUAUAAACCAACUGAUUACAAACUUCGACGAUCUUGUGACAAGGGAGUGACGUCAGUGAAUUUAAGGAGAAGGGCCUGAUGGAAGAUGAGAGACCCUCACCCAAGCAGAAGAGAAAAACUUUCCAGGAAACACAGUUACACAUCCUUCAAGGUGCAAAGGAUAACCGGAAGCCAAGGGCUGGCUUUGAGAUAAGAAGCCUGUCCCAUGCAGCAACACCUUCGGGUCCAGAUGCCCCUGGAGACCACCGGACGUCCUCUGCCCCAGAACAAAAGGCUUCCUCCACCCCGGGACAAAAUGUCCCUCUCCUCCUGGCACCACCCCUCCCCUUCCCAAACUCCCCUGUAAAGUCUCCCCUCACCCAAGCCCCCAGGGUCAACAGCUCUGUCG